AUUGAACGCUGGCGGAAUGCUUUACACAUGCAAGUCGAACGGCAGCACGGGGGCAACCCUGGUGGCGAGUGGCGAACGGGUGAGUAAUACAUCGGAACGUGCCCAGUCGUGGGGGAUAACGUAGCGAAAGUUACGCUAAUACCGCAUACGAUCUACGGAUGAAAGCGGGGGACCGUAAGGCCUCGCGCGAUUGGAGCGGCCGAUGUCAGAUUCGGUAGUUGGUGAGGUAAAGGCUCACCAAGCCGACGAUCUGUAGCCGGUCUGAGAGGACGACCAGACACACUGGGAAUGGGCCACGGCCCAGACUCCUAGGGGAGGCAGCAGUGGGGAAUUUUGGACAAUGGGCGCAAGCCUGAUCCAGCCAUUCCGCGUGAAGGACGAAGGCCUUCGGGUUGUAAACUGCUUUUGUACGGAACGAAAAGGCUCUGGUUAAUACCUGGGGCUCAUGACGGUACCGUAAGAAUAAGCACCGGCUAACUACGUGCCAGCAGCCGCGGUAA
rnacentral:rRNA from 1 species